rnacentral:rRNA from 1 species
GAUGAACGCUGGCGGCGUGCCUAAUACAUGCAAGUCGAGCGAACGGACGAGAAGCUUGCUUCUCUGAUGUUAGCGGCGGACGGGUGAGUAACAUGUGGAUAACCUACCUAUAAAACUGGGAUAACUUCGGGAAACCGGAGCUAAUACCGGAUAAUAUUUUGAACCGCAUGGUUCAAAAGUGAAAGACGGUCUUGCUGUCACUUAUAGAUGGAUCUGCGCUGCAUUAGCUAGUUGGUAAGGUAACGGCUUACCAAGGCAACGAUGCAUAGCCGACCUGAGAGGGUGAUCGGCCACACUGGAACUGAGACACGGUCCAGACUCCUACGGGAGGCAGCAGUAGGGAAUCUUCCGCAAUGGGCGAAAGCCUGACGGAGCAACGCCGCGUGAGUGAUGAAGGUCUUCGGAUCGUAAAACUCUGUUAUUAGGGAAGAACAUAUGUGUAAGUAACUGUGCACAUCUUGACGGUACCUAAUCAGAAAGCCACGGCUAACUACGUG